rnacentral:lncRNA from 1 species
UAAACGGGUCGUGAUGGACCGUAAGCACUUAGAUUAGGUUUCAUUUUAGUAUGUAGGCUUUGCUAAGCCAUAUUACACGAGUCUCCAUACUCGUUUGGUUUACGAACCCGCGUACUGUCCGAUCCUUCCGAUUUGGUCCGGUAUAUUAACAUAAGCUACCUAUUAGGUGCCGUUGAUAUUCCGUGAUCUUUAGCAUUAUCCGGUUAUUAUACAAGGAAUCCAAAGCAAUCUCAUGUGAGUACAUUGAACCCCUCUUUUACUGUUUUCCGAACUGUUUUGGGGUGAAGCAUGUGUACCUAUCUGUUAUUUUCAUGAUUUCAAAGUAUAAUUGAUUAUACAUGUUAAUACUUAUCUUUUGACAAACUAAAUGACUAUCUAUGGUUUAAACACUGAUUUCUCAAAAAUUACAAAAGUGAUUGUUGGAAUAGUACUUAUUUUGUUCACCAGACCGAUUGGUAGUAUGAUAUAGCGCUAUAGGACUAGACACCCCAUUCCUGUUGUCAUGGAAUGUCUGAAACCAAUUCGUUUCUCCAUCCAAAUAGGGAUUUCCUUUGUGGUAUCCCUAUAGUCUCAAAGGUGUAGUUUGAUGCACCAGGUCUGAAUGAAUUCUUAAAUCGCACCUUUAAAGUAUAGUUUGAUAUACUCUCAUGUGUGGUGUUGUACAGAACCAACAUAUAUUUUGUAAUCAUCCAAAGCAUAUUUUGAUAUGUUAUUUACAAACCAAGACAUAGUUUAAUAUGUUAUUUAUCACAUCCAAAGCAUAUUCUGAUAUGUUACUUACAAAACUAAAGCAUAGUUUAAUGUGUUAUUUAUAAAUCCAAGGUAUACCUGUAAUAUACUACUGAAAACUAUUAUUUUGAACAACUAAAGUAUAUUUAAUAUACUAUCUAUCAAACGAUUUGGUUUUGGUUAGUGUCUAGAUAACAGAACGAGUGUAAUGUGAUGAAAACAUGGUAGAUUACGCCGCUGGUACUUCUUAUAUAUAAGUGUUUUCAUUGCAUUACAUACCGUGGCGUUAUUUAGUACACUUGGGUUAACAAUAUUGGAACUGAAAUAUAUUUUAAUAUAUUACUUAUUCAACUUUCUUAAAACCAAGGUAUAUUUUAUAUAUACCAUAAACGUUUUAUUAAACCAUUGUUUUUCAAACAAACUUAACUUAUACAAACUCAUUUUACAUGGUUAUUCAGUUAACCAUACAUUAUUCUCUUAUUUAUACAUAUCAUCUGAUCCUAUCGUUUUUCAAAUGAUUUACAAGACAAAGCAAAAAUACGAGGUGCCGUCUUGAGAUGAUUGUUGAUGCAUGCUACAUUUAGGAUGGACUCGUGCCUUAGCAACUUUAAAACUUGGAAGAUCAUAGUUGUACUUAUGUGAUUGUAAUAGAACAACGAGUUCAUUUAAUCAAUAAA